AUACGUAGGGUGCGAGCGUUGUCCGGAAUUACUGGGCGUAAAGAGCUCGUAGGUGGUUUGUCGCGUCGUCUGUGAAAUUCCGGGGCUUAACUCCGGGCGUGCAGGCGAUACGGGCAUAACUUGAGUACUGUAGGGGAGACUGGAAUUCCUGGUGUAGCGGUGAAAUGCGCAGAUAUCAGGAGGAACACCGGUGGCGAAGGCGGGUCUCUGGGCAGUAACUGACGCUGAGGAGCGAAAGCAUGGGUAGCGAACAGGAUUAGAUACCCUGGUAGUCCAUGCCGUAAACGGUGGGCGCUAGGUGUAGGGGUCUUCCACGACUUCUGUGCCGUAGCUAACGCAUUAAGCGCCCCGCCUGGGGAGUACGGCCGCAAGGCUAAAACUCAAAGGAAUUGACGGG
rnacentral:rRNA from 1 species